UACGGGGGGAGCAAGCGUUGUUCGGAUUUACUGGGCGUAAAGGGCGCGUAGGCGGCCAACUAAGUCGGAUGUGAAAUCCCCAGGCUCAACCUGGGAACUGCAUCCGAUACUGGAUGGCUUGAAUUCGGGAGAGGGAUGCAGAAUUCCAGGUGUAGCGGUGAAAUGCGUAGAUAUCUGGAGGAAUACCGGUGGCGAAGGCGGCAUCCUGGACCGACAUUGACGCUGAGGAGCGAAAGCUAGGGGAGCAAACGGG
rnacentral:rRNA from 1 species